UUUAGCUAGCCGGCAGAUUUUUUACACUUGCCUUGCGUUUUAUACCGUCCUAUCUACCGGUACCUAUCUAC